rnacentral:rRNA from 1 species
UACGGAGGGGCUAGGCGUUGUUCGGAAUUACUAGGGCGUAAAGCGUGACGCAGGCGGUGAUGUAAGACCGAUGUGAAAUCCCCGGGCUUAACCGUGGGAACUGCAUUGGUGACUGCAUUGCUGGAGUAGUGGCAGAGGGGGGUGGAAUUCCGCGUGUAGCAGUGAAAUGCGUAGAUAUGCGGAGGAACACCGAUGGCGAAGCAUCCCGUGGCU